AACGAACGCUGGCGGCAGGCCUAACACAUGCAAGUCGAGCGGACGUAGCAAUACGUCAGCGGCGCACGGGUGAGUAACGCGUGGGAACCUGCCCUUUGGUUCGGAACAACCCUGGGAAACUAGGGCUAAUACCGGAUAAGCCCCGUAAGGGGGAAAGAUUUAUCGCCGAAGGAGGGCCCGCGUCCGAUUAGCUAGUUGGUGGGGUAAUGGCCUACCAAGGCUUUGAUCGGUAGCCGGUCUGAGAGGACGAUCGGCCACACUGGGACUGAGACACGGCCCAGACUCCUACGGGAGGCAGCAGUGGGGAAUAUUGGACAAUGGGGAAACCUGAUCCAGCCAUGCCGCGUGGGUGAUGAAGGCCU
rnacentral:rRNA from 1 species